CCUACGGGAGGCAGCAGUGAGGAAUAUUGGUCAAUGGACGAGAGUCUGAACCAGCCAAGUAGCGUGAAGGAUGACUGCCCUAUGGGUUGUAAACUUCUUUUAUAUGGGAAUAAAGUGUUCCACGUGUGGGAUUUUGUAUGUACCAUAUGAAUAAGGAUCGGCUAACUCCGUGCCAGCAGCCGCGGUAAUACGGAGGAUCCGAGCGUUAUCCGGAUUUAUUGGGUUUAAAGGGAGCGUAGAGGGAUUGUUAAGUCAGUUGUGAAAGUUUUCGGCUCAACCGUAAAAUUGCAGUUGAAACUGGCAGUCUUGAGUACAGUAGAGGUAGGCGGAAUUCGUGGUGUAGCGGUGAAAUGCUUAGAUAUCACGAAGAACUCCGAUUGCGAAGGCAGCUUACUGGACUGCAAAUGACACUGAGGCUCGAAAGUGUGGGUAUCAAACAGGAUUAGAUACCCGAGUAGUC
rnacentral:rRNA from 1 species